AGUUUCUCGUAUACCUCCAGGCAGCCUGUUACUUGGAGGAGGAGGGAGGGGAUGAGAGGGCUAUAGAGUGUGUGGAGCGAUGAACCAGAAGAGAUGAACAGAAUAGCAGUGGCCUAGGAAAACUGGCCGAGACGCAACGACCGCAGUUUCGUCCCCGGCUGCUCCCCGGCCAGUUGCAAUUUGCUGUGUUUUUUGUAUGGUGAUCGUAUACAGUUAGUGCAGCGGCCAAGCAAGGAUUAUUUAAUUGUAGUGAUUAAGAGGGGGGAAAAAAUACUGCAUGGCCUCGGACGUGGUGAUUCAUUCGUGGUUUUUAUUAUGAAGUUGAUCCUGCUUGUGACGUUCCCAGUAUGUAGAUAAGGAGGGCGCGAAGGGAAAACAAGUGAGCAUCGCACUUCGUCAGGCUGCCUCACCUGAUUGACUAAAAAAAAAAAAAGGAUCACAGACGCAGGCCGACGCUCAGUUCCUGCCGCCAUGUCUCUGGAAAUUCAAGUCGUCAGGGCCUCCAACCUGCAGAACCUCGAGAAUUUCGGCAAAAGCGACCCUUAUGUCACCGUCGAUUUCCAAGGCGA